UACGAGGGGUGCGAGCGUUGUUCGGAAUUAUUGGGCGUAAAGGGCGCGUAGGCGGCGCGGUAAGUCACCUGUGAAAUCUCCCGGCUCAACUGGGAGCCUGCAGGCGAAACUACCGUGCUGGAGUGUGGGAGAGGUGCGUGGAAUUCCCGGUGUAGCGGUGAAAUGCGCAGAUAUCGGGAGGAACACCAGUGGCGAAGGCGGCGCACUGG
rnacentral:rRNA from 1 species